CCUACGGGAGGCAGCAGUAGGGAAUCUUCCGCAAUGGACGAAAGUCUGACGGAGCAACGCCGCGUGAGUGAUGAAGGCUUUCGGGUCGUAAAACUCUGUUGUUAGGGAUAGAACAAGUACAAGAGUAACUGCUUGUACCUUGACGGUACCUAACCAGAAAGCCACGGCUAACUACGUGACCAGCAGCCGCGGUAAU
rnacentral:rRNA from 1 species